CUGGACCUGGUUGGUCAGGACCUGAUAGACGACCUCAUGAUACCUCAUAAGAUCCUGACUGAGCCAGGCUACAGCUUUACUACCACAGCUGAGACAGAAGUUGUAGGUGACAUUAAGGAGGGGCUCUGCCAUGUUGCCCUGGAUUUUGAGCAAGAAAUGACUACUGUUGCAUCCUCCCCUUCCUUGGAGAAGAGCUAUGAGUUGCCUGAUGGGCAGGUAAUCACUGUUAACAAUGAGUGAUUAUGGUGUCCAGACGGGACUCUUUCAACCUUCCUUCCUGGACAUGGAGUCCUGUGGCAUCCAUAAGACUCCCUUCAACUCCCUCAUGACAUGUGGUGGUACCACCCUGUAUUCAGGCAAUGCUGACAGGAUGCAGAAGGAGAUUACAGCCCUAGCACUUGGCACAACAAAAAUUAAGAUCAUUACCAUCCCUUAGCGCAAAUCCUCAGGCUGGACUGAUGGCUCCAUCUUGGCCUCACUGUCUACCUUCCAGCAGAUGUGGAUCAGCAAGUAUGAGAACUCUGUCCGUGUCCCCUC
rnacentral:lncRNA from 1 species